CUUUGGUGCUCGAGUGGCGAACGGGCGAGUAACACGUGGGUGAUCUGCCCUGCACUUCGGGAUAAGCCUGGGAAACUGGGUCUAAUACCGGAUAGGACCACUUCUUGGAGGUUGUGGUGGAAAGUUUUUUCGGUGUGGGAUGAGCUCGCGGCCUAUCAGCUUGUUGGUGGGGUAAUGGCCUACCAAGGCGUCGACGGGUAGCCGGCCUGAGAGGGUGUACGGCCACAUUGGGACUGAGAUACGGCCCAG
rnacentral:rRNA from 1 species